rnacentral:lncRNA from 1 species
GAAUACAGUAGUUAUACAAAACAAAGAUAGAAUAAGUAUUUGAUUCCAAUUCUUUCCUGAUACUUAAUUGUCAGAAACCCUAUCCUUACAAGUAUGAUCAUGACUGCCAAAAUCCCAUGUUUUUGAGAAGCACUGCUAAUAGUAAUUACUUAACUCAAUAUGGUUGAACCUGAUUUGCUCAUGUGGUUCGUGGAUAAUCUUUGGAGCAGACACCAAUUACAAUUGGAAAAGUAUUCCUGAUUGUUUUUGGGUUUGUUCGCCAAUACAGGAACAACCAAUUACAUAGUUGAUGCUUCACUGUCAGCUCUGUAUUCUUAUAUGAUGCCAUGUACUUUCGUCUUGUAACAUCAAAGGGUUUUGGGCCAUUUCUCUCUCAGCACUGCUCAAAUAUAUAUAACCAAUCCUUUUCUGUCCCUCAUUAAUUUGUCCGAUGAACAAGUUGUUGCUCAAAAAUGGCGGCUCCCAUUAUCCCCUCACUCUUCACUGUUGUCCGCUCACCUUUUGGUUUGCCUCUUUCGCAUCAUCCAAUAUGCUGCCCUCUUCCUACUCUCUUAACAAAACCUGCACGACCAACUUGCCAUGCUACUCUUACCCUGAACCAGGGGUUGCUAUUAUUUGGUACCCGAUCUUAUUCGAUUCUAAUAAAUAGGUUUUGAUUUGGAUUUGAUCGGGUUUUUGAUAUUGCAUUCUUGGG